CUGGGUGUGUGGCAUGACCCUUUCUGGAAUGGGUGUCUUAUGAACUACAAAGAAGAUAAUGAAACCAAGGCUGAGAGGUGUGAAGUGACUUGCCGAGGUCACAGAGCUCAUAAGGAAUAUCUGAUAUUCAAGCCCAGCUCUGUGUAUUCCAAAGCUCAAGUUCGACCACAAGCUCUGGAGGUCUUGAAACGAAACUACCUUAAGCCUCAAGCGAUGUGUAGGAGUC